AUAGGAAUCACCAAAGGGAUCUGAUUAAAAGGUAUAUUCUGAUUCAUAAAGUCUAAGUCUUCAAGAUUCUGCAUUUCUAUCAAGUUUCCAAGUGACACAAAG
rnacentral:pre_miRNA from 1 species